rnacentral:rRNA from 1 species
CACACGACUCUCGGCAACGGAUAUCUCGGCUCUCGCAUCGAUGAAGAACGUAGCGAAAUGCGAUACCUGGUGUGAAUUGCAGAAUCCCGUGAACCAUCGAUUCUUUGAACGCAAGUUGCGCCCGAGGCCAUUCGGCCGAGGGCACGCCUGCCUGGGCGUCACGC